rnacentral:rRNA from 1 species
UACGUAGGGUGCGAGCGUUAAUCGGAAUUACUGGGCGUAUAGGGCGCGUAGGCGGCCUUCUAAGUCGGACGUGAAAGCCCCAGGCUUAACCUGGGAACUGCGUCCGAUACUGGGAGGCUUGGAUUCGGGAGAGGGAUGUGGAAUUCCAGGUGUAGCGGUGAAAUGCGUAGAUAUCUGGAGGAACACCGGUGGCGAAGGCGGCAUCCUGGACCGAGAUCGACGCUGAGGCGCGAAAGCUAGGGGAGCAAACGGG